rnacentral:rRNA from 1 species
UACUCUAGGGAUAACAGGCUGAUAGCGCCCAAGCGCUCACAGAGACGGCGCUGUUUGGCACCUCGAUGUCGGCUCAUCUCAUCCUGGGGCUGGAGCAGGUCCCAAGGGUAUGGCUGUUCGCCAUUUAAAGAGGUACGUGAGCUGGGUUCAGAACGUCGUGAGACAGUUCGGUCCCUAUCUGCCGUGGGAGUUGGAGUCUUGAGAGGAGCUGCCCUUAGUACGAGAGGACCGGGGUGGACGAACCUCUGGUGUAUCUGUUGUCGCGCCAGCGGCAGCGCAGAGUAGCUAUGUUCGGACUGGAUAACCGCUGAAAGCAUCUAAGCGGGAAGCCGCCCUCAAUACCAGGACUCCCUAUCAGAGCCGUGGAAGACCACCACGUUGAUAGGAUGGAUGUGGAAGUAUGGCAACAUAUGAAGCUAACCAUUACUAAUUGCUCGAUUGGCUUGAAUUC